rnacentral:tRNA from 1 species
GUUGACGUAGCUCAGUUGGUAGAGCAGUUGCCUUGUAAGCAUCAGGUCGCAGGUUCGAUGCCUGUCGUCAGCA